rnacentral:lncRNA from 1 species
AAAUUUAAAAGCCUCUUUAAUAGCAAAAGGGGAGGGGACACAAGAUGCCGAGCUAGCAAACGACAGAGUCUGUCAGGGAGGUGGCUAGAGAGGCCCGGAAGUGGCUUCUGUGCCCCGCCCUGCGGGUGGUUUGCUAGUUUCAAGCACUUUGUGAGUAUGGGGUGAAUCGGCGUCUGCCUUCCACUGUGGGGUUAAAUCUCAUCCCGCGGCUCUCCUCCUGUCGGUCCUGCAGUUCUUUUGUCCCCGGGUAGAG